rnacentral:rRNA from 1 species
GAUUUGGGAGUGCUCGAAGAGAACCUGCACACAGGUGCUGCAUGGCUGUCGUCAGCUCGUGUCGUGAGAUGUUGGGUUAAGUCCCGCAACGAGCGCAACCCUUGCCAUUAGUUGCUACGAAAGGGCACUCUAAUGGGACUGCCGGUGACAAACCGGAGGAAGGUGGGGAUGACGUCAAGUCCUCAUGGCCCUUAUAGGUGGGGCUACACACGUCAUACAAUGGCCGGUACAGAGGGUAGCCAACCCGCGAGGGGGAGCCAAUCCCACAAAGCCGGUCGUAGUCCGGAUCGCAGUCUGCAACUCGACUGCGUGAAGUCGGAAUCGCUAGUAAUCGCGGAUCAGCAUGUCGCGGUGAAUACGUUCCCGGGUCUU